UUUACUAUCAUCGAUGUUAUUGAGACGAUCAUCUUUGUUGAUCGUUGUCGACGAAGGGCAUGUACCACCCCGCAACCGCGCAUUACGGUCGUGCGCGGGCAGUGGUCUGCUGGCGAGCGGUGGCGGCACCAUGGGCAUCCCGCACCGCCUGUAAACGUCGUGCCCGUGGAAGGUAGCGGCUGCGCCACAUGUGAAGGCGGCGGCCACCCUCAUGCAUAAUGGUGG
rnacentral:lncRNA from 1 species